rnacentral:pre_miRNA from 1 species
GGGACACGUGCAAGGAAAGUGUCGAACACGGAUUUGGGAUGUGUCCUCUGCACAUGACAUGUCCCAAAUCUGUGUCCGACACGUAUCCUCAUGAAUCCC